UACGUAGGGUGCAAGCGUUGUCCGGAAUUAUUGGGCGGAAAGAGCUCGUAGGCGGUCUGUUGCGUCGGCUGUGAAAACCCGGGGCUCAACUCCGGGCCUGCAGCCGAUACGGGCAGACUAGAGUUCGGCAGGGGAGACUGGAAUUCCUGGUGUAGCGGUGAAAUGCGCAGAUAUCAGGAGGAACACCGGUGGCGAAGGCGGGUCUCUGGGCCGAUACUGACGCUGAGGAGCGAAAGCGUGGGGAGCGAACAGG
rnacentral:rRNA from 1 species